AUCUCUUUCUGGCGAUCGCUUCUCUUGGAGUUUUUUCCUGGAAGCAUAUGGGUUACUGUAUCGGAUUUACUUGGCAAGAUUUUGGUAGUGGUGGCUAUGGGGCUUCUCUGUGAGGAGAGGCUGGGACUGCCCAAUGCCAGCUGGUUCCAAGUGGCUACAGACGGUACUGGUGGCUGCACCUCAGGGCACAGCUGAGCCUUACAACCAAGGUGGUAGUGCCUCUGGGAAAAUGUGUUUAAGAAGUGAUUUAAAUAUGCUGCAGAGAAGCUGUGAGAGAGAAAAGUGAGAAAUCGAUGUGAGAGACACCAUGGUCAAGGAAGAAGGAGAGAGAUUUCCCAGGAACCAGAAUAGGGAUUCCUCUGCAGCCUAUGGAGAGAAACAUGGUGAAGUGGUUUGUCCCCCUACUGCCCAUAGAGGAUAGUGUUGAUGCACAUUUCCAGACUGCAGCCUGGGUGAACCCCACAGCACAGCAGGUGGGGAGCCCUGAAGGAAGUUGCAACCCAUGGAAAGCCCACACAGGAGCAACUUCUUGGCGGGUGCUGUGACCUUAUGGAGAGAAACCCAUUCUGGAGAAGCUUUCCUGACAGAUUGCACCCCAUGGCAUGGACCCGUUCUGGGGUGAUUCUUGAGAAAUUGCAUCCUGUGGGAAGGACCCACACUAGAGCAGUCUGUGAAGGAUUGCACAAUGCUGGAGCUGAACCCCACAGCAUCCAGCUUCCCUAAACACUUUUACUAAAGGUCUACUAUCUAUUACAAUAACAAACAACUGAAUUUUUUUCCUCAUUAGAAUAACUUAACUGUGAAACUUAUCUGCCAGGCACCGGUGUGAAGACUGCUGGUUUUAAAAAUAAAGUCUCACUCUAAUG
ensembl:lncRNA